rnacentral:ncRNA from 1 species
GCAGAGUAGGGACGGCGCGUCAAGUGUCAGCGGAUGGGAAGUUGCCGCUGAACGAAAAGCGGGAGGACCGCUUGCGUUGCCGCUUCCGCAUCCACUGC